rnacentral:rRNA from 1 species
GACGAACGCUGGCGGCGUGCUUAAUACAUGCAAGUCGAACGGAAAGGCCCUGCUUUUGUUGGUGCUCGAGUGGCGACCGGGUGAGUAACACGUGAUUAACCUGCCCUUUACUUUGGGAUGACUUCAGGAAACUGGGGCUAAUACCGGCUAAGAGCUUCUGCUGCAUGGUGGGGGUUGGGAAGUUUCGGCGGUUGGGGAUGGACUCGCGGGUUAUCAGCUUGUUGGUGGAGUAGGGGCUUACCAAGGCUUUGACGGGUAGCCGGCCUGAGCGGGUGACCGGGGACCAUAGGACUACGAGACGGAGCAGUAGGCUACGUGCGGCAACGGUGGAAAGUAUUACACAGUAGGGGGAAGCGAGAGACAGAAGCGCCGGGUGCGGGAUGACGGCUUUCGGGUUGAGAACAGAUGUCGACUUAAACGAACACGGCGUGACGGUAAUUGGUAAGAAAGCACCGGCUAACUACGUG